UAGGGAAUCUUCCGCAAUGGACGCAAGUCUGACGGAGCAACGCCGCGUGAGUGAUGAAGGUUUUCGGAUCGUAAAGCUCUGUUGCCAGGGAAGAACGCUUGGGAGAGUAACUGCUCUUAAGGUGACGGUACCUGAGAAGAAAGCCCCGGCUAAACUACGUG
rnacentral:rRNA from 1 species